UUGAACGCUGGCGGCAUGCUUUACACAUGCAAGUCGAACGGCAGCGGGGGCUUCGGCCUGCCGGCGAGUGGCGAACGGGUGAGUAAUGCAUCGGAACGUGCCCAGUCAUGGGGGAUAACUACGCGAAAGCGUAGCUAAUACCGCAUACGCCCUGAGGGGGAAAGCGGGGGAUCGCAAGACCUCGCGUGAUUGGAGCGGCCGAUGUCGGAUUAGCUAGUUGGUGGGGUAAAGGCCUACCAAGGCGACGAUCCGUAGCGGGUCUGAGAGGAUGAUCCGCCACACUGGGACUGAGACACGGCCCAGACUCCUACGGGAGGCAGCAGUGGGGAAUUUUGGACAAUGGGGGCAACCCUGAUCCAGCCAUUCCGCGUGAGUGAAGAAGGCCUUCGGGUUGUAAAGCUCUUUCAGCAGGAGCGAAACGGUCGUUUUUAAUACAGACGGCUAAUGACGGUACCUGCAGAAGAAGCACCGGCUAACUACGU
rnacentral:rRNA from 1 species